rnacentral:rRNA from 1 species
GCCUCAGGUUAUGUGUGACUACCCC